rnacentral:rRNA from 1 species
CAAGGGUUCCUGUCCAACGUUAAUCGGGGCAGGGUGAGUCGACCCCUAAGGCGAGGCCGAAAGGCGUAGUCGAUGGGAAACAGGUUAAUAUUCCUGUACUUGGUGUUACUGCGAAGGGGGGACGGAGAAGGCUAUGUUGGCCGGGCGACGGUUGUCCCGGUUUAAGCGUGUAGGCUGGUUUUCCAGGCAAAUCCGGAAAACCAAGGCUGAGGCGUGAUGACGAGGCACUACGGUGCUGAAGCGACAAAUGCCCUGCUUCCAGGAAAAGCCUCUAAGCAUCAGGUAACAUCAAAUCGUACCCCAAACCGACACAGGUGGUCAGGUAGAGAAUACCAAGGCGCUUGAGAGAACUCGGGUGAAGGAACUAGGCAAAAUGGUGCCGUAACUUCGGGAGAAGGCACGCUGAUAUGUAGGUGAAGCGACUUGCUCGUGGAGCUGAAAUCAGUCGAAGAUACCAGCUGGCUGCAACUGUUUAUUAAAAACACAGCACUGUGCAAACACGAAAGUGGACGUAUACGGUGUGACGCCUGCCCGGUGCCGGAAGGUUAAUUGAUGGGGUUAGCGGCAACGCGAAGCUCUUGAUCGAAGCCCCGGUAAACGGCGGCCGUAACUAUAACGGUCCUAAGGUAGCGAAAUUCCUUGUCGGGUAAGUUCCGACCUGCACGAAUGGCGUAAUGAUGGCCAGGCUGUCUCCACCCGAGACUCAGUGAAAUUGAACUCGCUGUGAAGAUGCAGUGUACCCGCGGCAAGACGGAAAGACCCCGUGAACCUUUACUAUAGCUUGACACUGAACAUUGAGCCUUGAUGUGUAGGAUAGGUGGGAGGCUUUGAAGUGUGGACGCCAGUCUGCAUGGAGCCGACCUUGAAAUACCACCCUUUAAUGUUUGAUGUUCUAACGUUGGCCCCUAAUCGGGGUUGCGGACAGUGUCUGGUGGGUAGUUUGACUGGGGCGGUCUCCUCCUAAAGAGUAACGGAGGAGCACGAAGGUUGGCUAAUCCUGGUCGGACAUCAGGAGGUUAGUGCAAUGGCAUAAGCCAGCUUGACUGCGAGCGUGACGGCGCGAGCAGGUGCGAAAGCAGGUCAUAGUGAUCCGGUGGUUCUGAAUGGAAGGGCCAUCGCUCAACGGAUAAAAGGUACUCCGGGGAUAACAGGCUGAUACCGCCCAAGAGUUCAUAUCGACGGCGGUGUUUGGCACCUCGAUGUCGGCUCAUCACAUCCUGGGGCUGAAGUAGGUCCCAAGGGUAUGGCUGUUCGCCAUUUAAAGUGGUACGCGAGCUGGGUUUAGAACGUCGUGAGACAGUUCGGUCCCUAUCUGCCGUGGGCGCUGGAGAACUGAGGGGGGCUGCUCCUAGUACGAGAGGACCGGAGUGGACGCAUCACUGGUGUUCGGGUUGUCAUGCCAAUGGCACUGCCCGGUAGCUAAAUGCGGAAGAGAUAAGUGCUGAAAGCAUCUAAGCACGAAACUUGCCCCGAGAUGAGUUCUCCCUGAGACUUAGAGUCUCCUGAAGGAACGUUGAAGACGACGACGUUGAUAGGCCGGGUGUGUAAGUGCAGCG